rfam:Asian citrus Psyllid, Diaphorina citri - Florida Strain, whole genome shotgun sequence.
GCCUAGUUAGCUUAGUUGGUUGUGUGUCUGCCUCGUAAGCACUAGGCCGCGGGUUCGAUUCCCGCCCGGGGCG